GACAUAGGUGGCAAACGUUAUCCGGAAUUAUUGGGCGUAAAGGGUGUGUAGGCGGUUGUUUAAGUUUGGUGUGAAAUCUCCCGGCUCAACUGGGAGGGUGCGCCGAAUACUGAGCGACUAGAGUGCGGGAGAGGAAAGUGGAAUUCCUGGUGUAGCGGUGAAAUGCGUAGAUAUCAGGAGGAACACCGGUGGUGUAGACGGCUUUCUGGACCGUAACUGACGCUGAGACACGAAAGCGUGGGGAGCGAACAGG
rnacentral:rRNA from 1 species